GCCUACCUACGGGACGCAGCAGUCGAGAAUCAUUCACAAUGGGGGAAACCCUGAUGGUGCGACGCCGCGUGGGGGAAUGAAGGUCUUCGGAUUGUAAACCCCUGUCAUGUGGGAGCAAAUUAAAAAGAUAGUACCACAAGAGGAAGAGACGGCUAACUCUGUGCCAGCAGCCGCGGUAAUACAGAGGUCUCAAGCGUUGUUCGGAAUCACUGGGCGUAAAGCGGGCGUAGGCUGUUUCGUAAGUCGUGUGUGAAAGGCGCGGGCUCAACCCGCGGUCGGCACAUGAUACUCCGAG
rnacentral:rRNA from 1 species